AUUGAACGCUGGCGGCAUGCCUUACACAUGCAAGUCGAACGGCAGCACGGGUGCUUGCACCUGGUGGCGAGUGGCGAACGGGUGAGUAAUACAUCGGAACGUACCUUAUCGUGGGGGAUAACGCAGCGAAAGUUGCGCUAAUACCGCAUACGCCCUGAGGGGGAAAGCGGGGGACCGUAAGGCCUCGCGCGAUUAGAGCGGCCGAUGUCUGAUUAGCUUGUUGGUGAGGUAAAAGCUCACCAAGGCGAUGAUCAGUAGCUGGUCGGAGAGGACGAUCAGCCACACCGGGACUGAGACACGGCCCAGACUCCUACGGGAGGCAGCAGUGGGGAAUUUUGGACAAUGGGGGCAACCCUGAUCCAGCAAUGCCGCGUGAGUGAAGAAGGCCUUCGGGUUGUAAAGCUCUUUUGUCAGGGAAGAAACAGCAGCUCUAACACAGUCUGCGAAUGACGGUACCUGAAGAAUAAGCACCGGCUAACUACGUGCCAGCAGCCGCCGUAA
rnacentral:rRNA from 1 species